GGGGGGUAAUCGUCCGGUAAGGAAAAAUUGAAAGGGUCAUCAGGUUAGUGAGAAACGCGAGUAUUCAGAACCAAAUACACAAGGUCCCCUCAUCUGUGCAUAAUAAAGGGUGAUUUAUCCUUAAUUAGUUAGUUAGUCAGUCAGUCUCAGACGUUUCCUUAUUUUCUUUGAGAUGUUUUCAACAUGUGAAUGUCAAAACAGAGUGCUGUCAAGUUGCAGACCAAGAAAAUUGGCUGAUGGUACUGUCUCCAGACUGUUGUUGCCCAUGGGGACAUUUAGUGUUCAACUGAUGAUGCUAUCUUGCGUAGCUUGGGGUCACUACAAACAAUCAUUAACUAGGUCUUCUCAGCCAUUCUAUUUUCUAUAGGCCAGGUAUUUAUAGAGGACAACUCAGCACACAGAGAGGCUGCUACUUCGUCUAUCUGCUUACCGGAUGCUAGUUGUGCGGAGUCGUCAGCAUACAUUUUGGUGAUGGUACUCGAGUUGGGAAGGGGUAGAUCAUGAAUAUAAUAAAUAGUUAUGGACCCAGGAUGGAGCUCUCAGGUGCACCUGAUGCACCACAUGAAGAGCAUUAGAGAGUUGUCUACUGAUACUUUCUGUUUACGGUCCAUUUGGUAGGAGUUAAACCAUGUUAUUGUUGACUCAGAGAGGUUGAGAGAGAAAUGGCAAGUUUCUUUAACAGAAUCUUGUGGUCCACAAGAUCGAAUGCCUUUCGGUAGUCAAUCAGUGUAAUCCCGUUGAUCACCCCGUUGUCCAUGUUUGUCAGAAGAACGCGUCCACUAAGUCAAUCAUAGCCGUCUCACAGGAGUGUUGAGGUUUGAAUCCAGACUGGUAAGGGCUUAGUAGAGAGUAAGGACGCAGCUGCUUUGUCUCCUAUUAUCUUUGUUUUACAAAGGAGUUCUUUUGUCUCUUUUCUUCUCGUUCUGUGUCGAGGUGCGGAUAUUGUUCAUUUGCCCAACCAAAUUGCAGCUUGUAAGAGCUGCGUACCGACCCUUAGUAGAUGAUGGUCAUUCAGGAAGUUGUAUAACGUCAGGUGGAUAUGUCUCUUGAGGACUUUGGAGACAAUGGGCAGGAUGCUACUUGGUAUCUUUAGUUAUCAUUUUCAGUACAAGGAAAUAUAGUAAUAAUGUAUAUUUACGCUAUGUAUAUAUACAAUAAAAUCUGCAAACGGUUUGA